rnacentral:rRNA from 1 species
UCACGGAGAGUUUGAUCCUGGCUCAGGAUGAACGCUGGCGGUCUGCUUAACACAUGCAAGUCGAACGGUGUCUUCGGACACAGUGGCGGACGGGUGAGUAACGCGUGAGAAUCUACCUUCAGGUCGGGGAUAACCCCUGGAAACGGGGGCUAAUACCGGAUAGGUCGAAAGAUGAAAGGUUAACUGCCUGAAGAGGAGCUCGCGUCUGAUUAGCUAGUAGGUGUGGUAAGAGCGCACCUAGGCGACGAUCAGUAGCUGGUCUGAGAGGAUGAGCAGCCACACUGGGACUGAGACACGGCCCAGACUCCUACGGGAGGCAGCAGUGGGGAAUUUUCCGCAAUGGGCGAAAGCCUGACGGAGCAAGACCGCGUGGGGGAGGAAGGCCUUUGGGUUGUAAACCCCUUUUGUUAGGGAAGAAAAAAAUGACGGUACCUAACGAAUCAGCCUCGGCUAACUCCGUGCCAGCAGCCGCGGUAAUACGGAGGAGGCAAGCGUUAUCCGGAAUUAUUGGGCGUAAAGCGUCCGUAGGUGGCCCGGCAAGUCUGCUGUCAAAGACCACAGCUCAACUGUGGAAAGGCAGUGGAAACUGCAAGGCUAGAGUGCGGUAGGGGUAGAGGGAAUUCCCAGUGUAGCGGUGAAAUGCGUAGAGAUUGGGAAGAACACCGGUGGCGAAAGCGCUCUACUGGGCCGCAACUGACACUGAUGGACGAAAGCUAGGGGAGCGAAUGGGAUUAGAUACCCCAGUAGUCCUAGCUGUAAACGAUGGAAACUAGGUGUAGCACGUAUCGACCCGUGCUGUAUCGGAGCUAACGCGUUAAGUUUCCCGCCUGGGGAGUACGCACGCAAGUGUGAAACUCAAAGGAAUUGACGGGGGCCCGCACAAGCGGUGGAGUAUGUGGUUUAAUUCGAUGCAACGCGAAGAACCUUACCAGGGCUUGACAUGUCCGGAACCUCUGUGAAAGCAGAGGGUGCCUUCGGGAGCCGGAACACAGGUGGUGCAUGGCUGUCGUCAGCUCGUGUCGUGAGAUGUUGGGUUAAGUCCCGCAACGAGCGCAACCCUCGUCCUUAGUUGCCAGCAUUUUGGAUGGGCACUCUAGGGAGACUGCCGGUGACAAACCGGAGGAAGGUGGGGAUGACGUCAAGUCAGCAUGCCCCUUACGUCCUGGGCGACACACGUACUACAAUGCUGUGGACAAAGAGCAGCCAACCCGCGAGGGCGAGCUAAUCUCAUAAACCACGGCUCAGUUCAGAUCGCAGGCUGCAACUCGCCUGCGUGAAGGCGGAAUCGCUAGUAAUCGCCGGUCAGCAUACGGCGGUGAAUCCGUUCCCGGGCCUUGUACACACCGCCCGUCACACCAUGGGAGCUGGCCACGCCCGAAGUCGUUACUCCAACCGUUCGCGGAGGAGGACGCCGAAGGCAGGGCUGGUGACUGGGGUGAAGUCGUAACAAGGUAGCCGUACCGGAAGGUGUGGCUGGAUCACCUCCUUUAUAGGGAG